CUGCCUGAGGUGAACACAAAGUAAUUGAAGGUAAUUAGAUGUGUUAAACAACAAAUUGCUAAUCUGAAUAAUAUUUCAAAAAAUGAUUCCUUUGUACAUUUUGCAGGUUUUGUGUAUCGGAGGAGUGAAGCUGCAUAAAGGAAGAUUUGUCUAUUUCUAGUCAUUCAGUAAUUAGGAGUUUAACUACUAUUUUUGUAAUUUGAGUUUUUACUCUUUAUGUUUUUAUAAAUGGUUAUAUUUUAGACAUUAAAUCAAUGCAAAUGGAGAAUCUAUGAAUGUAUGUUUUGAAGUUAGAAUUUGGAUUAUUCCCUUGAAUAUAUGAUAAAAAAAUUAAACGAGCCCAAAAACCAUAAACGAGCUUGAGUCGAGCCUAAGCUCAUUUAGGCUCGCGUGACAAACAAAACGAGCCGAGCUUGAGCCGAGCUCGAGCUUCUUCUUUUUCCUACGAGCCGAGCACGAGCUUUGAAAUUGGGCUCGAAACGAGCCGAGCUCGAGCUCGAGCCAACAUACAUUUAUACGAGUUCGAGCCGAGCUUAGGAAUGUUCGGGCUCGGCUCGGCUCAUUUACACCCCUACGCGUGGCCCUUUCCUUCAUCUUCUCUACUCUCUCCACCUCCUCACGUGCCCGCUCCCACAUGUGCCUCGCACGUGCGAAUUCCGACUGCGCCAUCUCUAUUUCCCGCCGUGUCAUCUCCUUCACGCGCUCCGCGUAUGCCUUCUCCAUGGCGGCGCUAUGAAUUUGUUCCGCCACUCGCCAUUUUACCGUCUCCACCGCAAACGGCGGCUUAAUUGGCCGGAGACUGAUGGACAGUUGGAGGUCCAGGGAAGGUCCUCCACCUGCACCACCACCAUCCAAGGAACGUUGGAGGUCGUCUGAUCGGAAAGCCAUGAGAUCCGAUGGCCAUGGUGAGGCACAUGAGUAGGAGGGUGUGGCAUAAGGCAUACUUAUAGGGAGGAGUUGUAAUUCCUUCUCAUUAUCUUCCAUUGUGGCAAAGAGAAGCACUGCUAUACGGCUUUAUAUAAAC
rnacentral:lncRNA from 1 species